rnacentral:tRNA from 1 species
GCCGAAGUGGCGGAACUGGCAGACGCGCCGGAUUCAAAAUCCGGUGGGCGUCAGCCCGUGUGGGUUCGAAUCCCACCUUCGGCACCA